UACGUAGGGUGCGAGCGUUGUCCGGAAUUAUUGGGCGUAAAGAGUUCGUAGGCGGUCUGUCGCGUCGAUCGUGAAAACUUGGGGCUUAACCCUGAGCUUGCGGUCGAUACGGGCAUGACUGGAGUUCGGCAGGGGAGACUGGAAUUCCUGGUGUAGCGGUGGAAUGCGCAGAUAUCAGGAGGAACACCGGUGGCGAAGGCGGGUCUCUGGGCAGUAACUGACGCUGAGGAGCGAAAGCGUGGGGAGCGAACAGG
rnacentral:rRNA from 1 species